ACCUUUCUUCGGUCUCACACUGUGUGCAAGGGAGGCAAUUUGGUCUGAAUAACAGUUGAGGAGCGCCGGUGAGGGAACCACCAGCUUUUAUCGUUGCGGUAGAAUGUAGCAAUUGUUGACAAGGGAAUAACUAGAGGAUAGUCGUUCACUGUCCAGCUUUUGUCAAUGCGUCCAACGUGGACAGUCACGAGAAUGUUUUCAAUUAUGUUGAAUCCUGACUUCAAAUGACACCUGUUCUUUCUACUUUUUAUUGAGAGAUAUAACUAACUUCAAUCGGUCUAAAUGCAUGGUUUCGUCUGAAGUGGAC
rnacentral:sRNA from 1 species